rnacentral:rRNA from 1 species
UACAGAGGUCUCGAGCGUUAGGCGGAAUCACUGGGCUUAAAGCGUGUGUAGGCGGAUCGUUAAGUGCCUUGUGAAAUCCCACGGCUCAACCGUGGAACUGCUUGGCAUACUGGCGGUCUUGAGCAACCUAGGGGCGAGCGGAACAAAUGGUGGAGCGGUGAAAUGCGUAGAUAUCGCUUGGAACGCCGAAGGUGAAAACAGACUGCUGGGGUUGCGCCGACGCUGAGACACGAAAGCCAGGGGAGCAAACGGG